GGGGAUUUAGCUCACUGGUAGAGCGCUUGCCUAGCAAGCGAAUGCCCCUGGGUUCGGUCCCCAGCUCCG
rnacentral:tRNA from 1 species